rnacentral:rRNA from 1 species
ACGAACGCUGGCGGCGUGCUUAACACAUGCAAGUCGAACGAGGUUCAAUCAUUCGCAAGAAUGAGGACGACCUAGUGGCGAACGGGUGCGUAACACAUGAGGAACCUACCCCAGACUCUGGAAUAACAAGUGGAAACACUUGCUAAUACCGGAUGUCGUUGGAUCAUCGCCUGGCGAUCCAACGAAAGAUUUAUCGGUCUGGGAGGGCCUCGUGGCCUAUCAGCUUGUUGGCGAGGUAACGGCUCACCAAGGCUUCGACGGGUAGCUGGUCUGAGAGGAUGAUCAGCCACACUGGGACUGAGACACGGCCCAGACUCCUACGGGAGGCAGCAGUGGGGAAUCUUGCACAAUGGGCGCAAGCCUGAUGCAGCAACGCCGCGUGCGGGAAGAAGGCCCUAGGGUUGUAAACCGCUUUCAGCAGGGAAGAAAAUGACGGUACCUGUAGAAGAAGGUGCGGCCAACUACGU